rnacentral:lncRNA from 10 species
UGGGCUCCCCUCUGCUCCACAGCAGAUCCAGAAAUGCCAUCCAAGAGACAAGUCCUGGAACUGGGAACUCUAAGAGCCCUGUUGGUGCUGUACGUCCCUGUGGCUGAGCUAGUAGCUAAAGUGCAAGACAAAGUUCCCCUCAGUUUUCCUUCUGCUUUUCUCAAGCAGAAGGAGCCUCUCACCAUACACAAAAGUAACAGACAAGUUUGUUCAGGGGCCCACACAUUUUCAUAACAGUUUUCUUGGCAUAUACUUGACAUAAACUGCUCUUAUUAUGAGUACAAAUGACAUGAGCCAUUUCUGAGCUGAGAUGGUGAAAGUCUGUGAGUGAUUCUCUAGUCUCUCAUCUCUGGCUUGGUCUGGUUACUAGAAUGGGGCUGAAUAUUCUGUGGGAGAUGAGUGGGCUCAGGCAUGAGGAGCUGAGAGCAAAGGCAAAGCUUAAUCCCAGUACAGUCAGUCCCCCAUAUCUGUGGUUCCACAUUCACAGAUUCAACCAACCAUAGAUUCAAAAUAUUUGAAAAUUAAAAAAAAAUAAAAAUAUACAAAAUUUAAGACCAAUACAGUAUAACAAUUAUUUGCAUGGCAUUUACCUUUGCAGUGGCACGAUCUCAACUCACUGCAACCUUUGUCUCCUGGCUUCAGGUGAUUCUCGUGCCUCAGCCUCCCGAGUAACUGGGAUUAUAGGCACCGCCAUUACACCUGGAACUUCCGCCCCCCGGGACAACCUAUUCUCCUACCUCAUCCUCCCAAGUAGCUGGGAUUUCAGACCUGUGCCACCACGCC